rnacentral:rRNA from 1 species
UACGAAGGGGGCUAGCGUUGCUCGGAAUCACUGGGCGUAAAGCGCACGUUGGCGGAUUGCUAAGUCAGGGGUGAAAUCCUGGAGCUCAACUCCAGAACUGCCUUUGAUACUGGCGAUCUCGAGUCCGGGAGAGGUGAGUGGAACUGCGAGUGUAGAGGUGAAAUUCGUAGAUAUUCGCAAGAACACCAGUGGCGAAGGCGGCUCACUGGCCCGGUACUGACGCUGAGGUGCGAAAGCGUGGGGAGCAAACAGG